rnacentral:rRNA from 1 species
AUACGGAGGAUCCGAGCGUUAUCCGGAUUUAUUGGGUUUAAAGGGUGCGCAGGCGGCCAUUUAAGUCAGCGGUUAAAUCGUGGGGCUCAACCCCAUUCUGCCGUUGAUACUGGGUGGCUUGAUUGCGGUCGAGGUUGGCGGAAUUCGUUGUGUAGCGGGGAAAUGCAUAGAUAUGACGAAGAACACCGAUAGCGUAGGCAGCUGACCAGACCGCAAAUGACGCUCAUGCACGAAAGUGCGGGGAUCGAACAGGAUUAGAUACCCUGGUAGUCCGCACAGUAAACGAUGAAUACUUGUUUUCGGCGAUAUAAUGUCGGAGGCAAAGCGAAAGCGAUAAGUAUUCCACCUGGGGAGUACGCCGGCAACGGUGAAACUCAAAGGAAUUGACGGGG